ensembl:lncRNA
GGGGUCUCAGGACAGGUGCUGUUACCGCGAAACAAUAGAAAUAUCAAGGUCUGUUCUCUGCAGCACGGCUGCUGUCCCCAUUGGAGAGCGAGGGGAUGGAUGGACCAGCGCCUUAAUGAGGGGUGUCUGACAGUGGGUCCCCAAAUCCUUGGUGGUUCAGAGGCUGGAGCAAGAGCUGGGGAAGCCAAACGGUGCAGGUGGGAAGCACAUCUGGAUACGCCAUCCUCUCAGAGUUAUCAUAGUUCAGGAGGUGUUAAAGUUGGUGUCGACACAUCCUCAUCUGUGGGGAGAUGCAAUGGGACCCUGAAAGACGCAGAGCUCCCAGGGCUCUUCCACAUUGAGUUUUGGUGACCACACACCCCCAGAUCAGCUCACUGACUGCAGGAGCAGUGUGAUGCCAGCUGCCUGCAGAAAGGGCUCCCGAGGAAAUGUGGAGCCACUGCUGAGAGAUGCCAAGGUCGUUCUGGAGAAGUCUGUGUAGAAAUCUACAGGCUGCCUCCCGAGCAAAGCAACCAUUGCGGGGCAGAAAUUGGUGCUCUACACUGGGAUACUUCACUGAAAAUAAUAGUAUCGGUGCUGAGAAGGCAUUAAGUAUCUGAAUGAGUGGAACUGCGGUGGCUUAAGAACAUUUAGGGAACGUAGCAGCCAGAUACUGCCUGAGACAGAGUCAUGGAAUCACAGAAUGGCCUGGGUUGCACAGGACCACAAUGCUCAUCCAGUUCCAACCCCCUGCUACGUGCAGGGUCGCCAACCACCAGACCAGGCUGCCCAGAGCCACAUCCAGCCUGGCCUUGAAUGCCUCCAGGGACGGGGCAGGAAUUGCUUUCAAUUAGAAAUCUAAAUGGAAUAUGGAGAGAGAUGGGAACGUGGAGAACAAGGACAGGAUGUGAAACGUGGUGGUCUCAGACAGAAAAGUGCUGCAGCCAUUGCCCCACUUUCCAGCACUGACACAGACCUGUGGAAAUCAAACCCACCAUCCAAACCUUGAACAGCAGUCCCAGGUUUUAAGCGCUGUAAUGAAUCAGAGCCGAGUUUGCAGUUUCAUAUUUUGGGAUGUUUAAUUUUCAAGCAUUUUGUUUUAAUUACCAGUUUCCAAUCAUUUUUAUGUUAGCUCUGAGUGCCUUUCCUACAUUUUCUUCUCAAUAAUUAAAACUUUUUAAUAACAAUACUUUCAAUCAAAGGAUUUCAAUUUAUCUUCCAACUUAGUUCUAUCCUAAUAAGAUUUUGUCCCUGGGAAUUUCCUAACUCGCAGUAAAGGAAAUAAGCAUUUCUAAAGAGUUAUUUUAUUUCCUUCCAACACAUGGAGAGCUCAGAUCUCUUGAAAACUUUGGAAAAGCAUCAGGACACGUUCAGAGCCCCAAAUACUUGGACAUGGGAUGACUCAGGAUACGAAUCUGUUCUCCCUUCUUUUUGGUUGACCAGCAACAGCCACCGAGGGCUGUGCAAAACAAGGUGCUAAACAGAUGUGUCCCAAGAACCUGAAAAAACUCACUCUUAGAUCUGAAGUCUGUUUAACCACGGUUUUGUGGCACGCCUUACAGGUGAGAAAAUAGAGCCUAUUACACAGCGGUCAACAAAUGCUUCAUCCACAAUCCAUUGGCGUCUCUAAGCCCCACGUGAAUCCAAACUUGCCCAUCUCCAGAGCUUAUUAGUUGCCAGGGUUUAUAAUCUGCAGAAGCCUCUCUGAGGGAUGCACAUUCUUUACAAUGGAGUCGCAGAGAAACCGUAGAAACUCGUAGGUAGAGAAGAGACAGGAGGUAAAUAGGAAUCCCUGCAUUCUCACCUGGAUGCUCAGCACCCAUUGGCAUUGUG